UACGUAGGGAGCAAGCGUUGCUCGGAAUCACUGGGCGUAAAGCGCACGUAGGCGGACUCUUAAGUCGGUGGUGAAAUCCUGGAGCUCAACUCCAGAACUGCCUUCGAUACUGAGAGUCUCGAGUCCGAGAGAGGUGAGUGGAACUGCGAGUGUAGAGGUGAAAUUCGUAGAUAUUCGCAAGAACACCAGUGGCGAAGGCGGCUCACUGGCUCGGUACUGACGCUGAGGUGCGAAAGCGUGGGGAGCAAACAGG
rnacentral:rRNA from 1 species